AGAGUUUGAUCCUGGCUCAGAUUGAACGCUGGCGGCAGGCCUAACACAUGCAAGUCGAGCGGAAACGGCAGCAUUGAAGCUUCGGUGGAUUUGCUGGACGUCGAGCGGCGGACGGGUGAGUAACGGCUGGGAACCUGCCCUGACGAGGGGGAUAACCGUUGGAAACGACGGCUAAUACCGCAUAAUGUCUUAGUUCAUUACGAGCUGGGACCAAGGGUGGCCUCUACAUGUAAGCUAUCGCGUUGGGAUGGGCCCAGUUAGGAUUAGCUAGUUGGUAAGGUAAUGGCUUACCAAGGCGACGAUCCUUAGCUGGUUUGAGAGGAUGAUCAGCCACACUGGGACUGAGACACGGCCCAGACUCCUACGGGAGGCAGCAGUGGGGAAUAUUGCACAAUGGGGGAGACCCUGAUGCAGCCAUGCCGCGUGUGUGAAGAAGGCCUUCGGGUUGUAAAGCACUUUCAGCAGUGAGGAAGGUGGUGUACUUAAUACGUGCACGGCUUGACGUUAGCUGCAGAAGAAGCACCGGCUAACUCCGUGCCAGCAGCCGCGGUAAUACGGAGGGUGCGAGCGUUAAUCGGAAUUACUGGGCGUAAAGCGCAUGCAGGCGGUUUGUUAAGUCAGAUGUGAAAGCCCGGGGCUCAACCUCGGAACCGCAUUUGAAACUGGCAGGCUAGAGUCUUGUAGAGGGGGGUAGAAUUUCAGGUGUAGCGGUGAAAUGCGUAGAGAUCUGAAGGAAUACCAGUGGCGAAGGCGGCCCCCUGGA
rnacentral:rRNA from 1 species